rnacentral:sRNA from 1 species
GCAGAGCGGAGGGCUGCUGGUGGCCAGCAAAGGUGGGUCGAGGGAGGGGCCUCGGCCACUGCCUCAAGGAGGGCCUUGCUGAACUUGGUGGCCCAGCCCAGGCCCUCUCUCUGGCUUGUCAAUCUCAUCACAGCCCCUCCGCCGCGAUGUGGCCUGGUUCUGCGUGUCUGCUGGGCUGAGUGGGGCUGUGGCAGAACAGCUCACUCAUCUGGGUAGCCGGGUGGGGGAUAUGGCUGGCCAGGGCUGCCCUACCCUCCCUCCUCCUGGUACGUGGCUGUGAGGUGCAGGCGGCCUCCGGGGUGCCGUGACUGCCUGCCCGCUGCUACAGGUGGUGAUAAAGUGCUGCUGCAUUUCGUCCAGAAGUCUCCAGGCGACUACGUCCCCAAGGAGCACAUCCUGCAGGUCCUGGGCAUCUCUGCGGAGGUCUGUGCCAGCGACCCGCCUCAGUGUGCCAGAGAGGUGUGAGGGAGGCGAAGGCCCUGGCCUCCGAGGAUCUGGGUGGCGUCUGCUGCCCUAGGUGUGCUGGAAGUCCACUUGGAAGAACUGUUCCAGAGGUGCUGGGUCGGGAUGCCGAACCUCUCCUGAUCCGCCGGCAGCAACAAGCCAUUAAAACUGCAGUUCCUGACCACGCACUGCUUCGCAGGCUCCGAGCCCUGCAUCCUCCACAGCCCCCGCCUUGCUCACUGUUGGGCCCUCAGGGCGGGCAGGGUAGCUGUGAGUCCCAGGUGUCAUCUUCCUGCUCUGCGACUUUCUCUGGAGACCUUGGGCCUUUGGCCUGUGGGGCACUGGGGAUGGUAACCUCACUGCCCUGUCACUCCCUUCAAAGGCGACAGACCCCAGCCCACGUCAGGAGAGGAGCGUGGGGUCAGCUCCAGCAGGGUCGGGGUCAGUGCCCGUGUCUGGUGGGGGCCACUCAGGAGAGUUGGGUUUUCAGGGCAGAGAUGGGCUUGAUUCCACCUGGUGGGGUGGGUGGACCCUGGAGACUCUCAGGUGAUGGGCCAGCCUGCCCCAAGGCCCUUUACUGAUGUCAGAAUCAUUGUUUGCACCUGCUGGGUAUGGCCUUUGGGGCGGCCGGCCCGGGAGGGUCUUAGUCUAAUUAGGUGUGUCCAGCUUCUUGGCCACCUUUCCCUGGGGACCCUAACAGGCCCAGAGCAGAGCCCCUUACCUCCCAGGUCAGACUACCUGCUCAGGCCCUCCCCUCCCAUGCAGGCCGAUGACAACUGCAGCCCUCUCUGCACUCCCUAGUCCAGACCUGGGGACCACUGUGGGUUCCUGUGGGUCUCCCGGCUCCCUUCCUGCCCCCAAUGCCACCCUUGCAGUGGCCAUUUAAAAAUGCAUAGCAGGUGACCCACUGCGUCCCUUUGCGUUCAGCCCCUCCUCUGGCUUUCAGUUACACAAAGCUAAAAUUUCAGGUUCCCAGCUGCAGCUCUCUGGGUCCCCCGGUGCCCCAGUGGGGCUCCCCGCAUCUGAACGUGUGGUCCCUGGGGGCGGGCACUUGGGGGCAUCCUGGUCACUGCUGGCCCUAGCAUUGGACCCUAGGAGACUUGACUGGAACUGGCUCCCUCCCCAUCAGCUCCCAGCUGUCACUCUCUCCCACCCCCGGGCAGCUGUUUUGCCCAAGGCCACUGCUACCUGUUUGCCCACCCUGGUCCCUCCCAGACAAGCAAGGCCUCUGAUUUCUUUGAAGCAUUUACUUAGCUCAAGUCUGAAGCUGUAGAUACUGAAAGACAAUGCACCUUGGAGGGUGGGCAGGACACAGUUGAUUGUCUCUAUAGAGCUGUGACGGGGGCACUGAGCCCCGCGGGUGUCUGUGGAGGGGGCUCCGGUCCAGGUACUGCACUGGACACUGCUCAUCCCUGGGUGUCAGGCAGGUGGCUGCACCCUAGGCCAGGCGCAGAGGCCUGGCAGGCAGGCUUGGCAUGGUUGGCCGGGGCGGGACGUACACUGGGUCGCCGCUAGCUGCACCUUCGCACAGAUGCCUCCGAGCAGCAGGUGGGCGUGGGCCGCACAGCGCGGCAGGGCCUUGGCUACCACACGCGGCAUCGCUCCUUGGGGUGCAUGGGGGUGCCCCGGGCACAGUGGAACGUGUCUGCGAAGGCGGCCAGGUUCUGCAGCGACCCCAGUACCCUGUGGGUGGGUGGGUGUGACAGCAGGUGCAUUGCCAUCUUGGACAAACAUGGCCAUUUUAAGUUCUCCGUGAUUAAAAACCAGCCCAAAACAUCAGCCUAAUGGCUCAUGUCAGUAUGAGCAGAAACAUUUCAACCAUGAGAUAAACCCCCAUCUGACCAGAAACAUGCCAAUCCUGAGAAUAACCUCCCCUCCAGCCAGAGAUAUUCCAACUCUGCAAUAAAACUCUCCUUCACACAGAAACAUUUGCAGCCUGCGGUAGGCUCCCCCUUCCUAAACCCUUAAAUGCCCUUAGUCUGUAAGAGAAUGUCCCUGACCGAAAUCGGCCAGAAGCCCCUCUCAGGUUUAUUCCCAAAAUAAACCUGUCUCUGUUGAGCCA